UUAAUUGAAGCCAAAAAGAGGCCUAUCACUGUUAAUGAUAUAAUUGAAAUAAUAUUCCAAUUAAG
rnacentral:tRNA from 1 species